rnacentral:rRNA from 1 species
GACGAACGCUGGCGGCGUGCCUAAUACAUGCAAGUAGAACGCUGAAGGAGGAGCUUGCUUCUCCGGAUGAGUUGCGAACGGGUGAGUAACGCGUAGGUAACCUGCCUGGUAGCGGGGGAUAACUAUUGGAAACGAUAGCUAAUACCGCAUAAGAGUAGAUGUUGCAUGACAUUUGCUUAAAAGGUGCAAUUGCAUCACUACCAGAUGGACCUGCGUUGUAUUAGCUAGUUGGUGGGGUAACGGCUCACCAAGGCGACGAUACAUAGCCGACCUGAGAGGGUGAUCGGCCACACUGGGACUGAGACACGGCCCAGACUCCUACGGGAGGCAGCAGUAGGGAAUCUUCGGCAAUGGACGGAAGUCUGACCGAGCAACGCCGCGUGAGUGAAGAAGGUUUUCGGAUCGUAAAGCUCUGUUGUAAGAAAAGAACGAGUGUGAGAGUGGAAAGUUCACACUGUGACGGUAUCUUACCAGAAAGGGACGGCUAACUACGUGCCAGCAGCCGCGGUAAUACGUAGGUCCCGAGCGUUGUCCGGAUUUAUUGGGCGUAAAGCGAGCGCAGGCGGUUAGAUAAGUCUGAAGUUAAAGGCUGUGGCUUAACCAUAGUACGCUUUGGAAACUGUUUAACUUGAGUGCAAGAGGGGAGAGUGGAAUUCCAUGUGUAGCGGUGAAAUGCGUAGAUAUAUGGAGGAACACCGGUGGCGAAAGCGGCUCUCUGGCUUGUAACUGACGCUGAGGCUCGAAAGCGUGGGGAGCAAACAGG